rnacentral:rRNA from 1 species
GAUGAACGCUGGCGGCGUGCUUAACACAUGCAAGUCGAACGAUGAAGCCCAGCUUGCUGGGUGGAUUAGUGGCGAACGGGUGAGUAACACGUGAGUAACCUGCCCUUAACUCUGGGAUAAGCCUGGGAAACUGGGUCUAAUACCGGAUAGGAGCGUCCACCGCAUGGUGGGUGUUGGAAAGAUUUAUCGGUUUUGGAUGGACUCGCGGCCUAUCAGCUUGUUGGUGAGGUAAUGGCUCACCAAGGCGACGACGGGUAGCCGGCCUGAGAGGGUGACCGGCCACACUGGGACGGGGAAACGGCCCGGACUCCUACGGGGGGAAGCGGUGGGGAAUAUUGCACAAUGGGCGCAGGCCUGAUGCAGCGACGCCGCGUGGGGAAUGACGGCCUUCGGGUUGUAAACCUCUUUCAGUAGGGAAGAAGCGAAAGUGACGGUACCGGCAGAAGAAGCACCGGCUAACUACGU